CUUUGAGUCUCUAGAACUUGAAUGGGAAGAAGAGGGGGCUUUUGUCCGACUUGAUCCCUGGCUAUUUUGGAGCUCAGGUGUUCCGGUGAGUGUGUGAAGAUGAUUCGAGUGAAGUGUGACUAGUUCAGCGAGCGAAGAGGGGAUCAACAAUAAACGGCGAUGACAAGCAAUCCAUAUUCAGAGAAUGGAGCUUGUUCUAGAAUGAAACAGGAGACCAAUGAAUAGCUGAAAUGCUGGCACAAAAAUGAGUUUCGGCUACUGGAAGACAAUUAACAGCACUUGAAUAAAUGCAAGAGGACAGAAGAUGUAAGCCCCAUGAUUGUUUCUUACUGGUAUUGCCCAUCCUUCUGCCACAGACAGUCACAAAGGUGUUGAAGGAAUCCCUCCAUGAUUUGGCCUCCCAUCAAGUCAUUAGGCAUUUGUUUUGUUUACUUAACAAUCUUACAAUGGUGGGAAGAGGGCCACAGUUUAAAUGGAGGGAUCUUUGUGCAUAAUGUUUGAAACUGGGAUUAAUAAAGUUAAUUUGGUUUUAAAUGAA